rnacentral:SRP_RNA from 1 species
GCCAGGUGUGGUGACUCACACCUGUAAUCCCAACACUUUAGGAGGCAGAGGUGGGAGGAUUGCUUGAGCCCAGGAGCUCAAGACCAGCCUGGGCAAUAUGGCGAGACCCCAUCUCAA